rnacentral:rRNA from 1 species
UGACGAGUGGCGGACGGGUGAGUAACGCGUAGGAAUCUGCCUUAUAGUGGGGGACAACGUGGGGAAACCCACGCUAAUACCGCAUACGCCCUACGGGGGAAAGCGGGAGCUCGUAAGACCUCGCGCUAUGAGAUGAGCCUGCGUUAGAUUGGCUAGUUGGUAGGGUAAAGGCCUACCAAGGCGACGAUCUAUAGCUGGUCUGAGAGGACGAUCAGCCACACUGGGACUGAGACACGGCCCAGACUCCUACGGGAGGCAGCAGUGGGGAAUAUUGGACAAUGGGCGCAAGCCUGAUCCAGCAAUACCGCGUGUGUGAAGAAGGCCUUAGGGUUGUAAAGCACUUUCAAUGGGGAGGAAAACCUGCCGGUCAAUACCCGGUAGCUUGACAUUACCUGUAGAAGAAGCACCGGCUAACUCCGUGCCAGCAGCCGCGGUAAUACGGAGGGUGCGAGCGUUAAUCGGAAUUACUGGGCGUAAAGCGUGCGUAGGCGGUUCGUUAAGUCAGAUGUGAAAGCCCUGGGCUCAACCUGGGAACGGCAUUUGAAACUGGCGGACUAGAGUUUAGUAGAGGGGAGUGGAAUUUCAGGUGUAGCGGUGAAAUGCGUAGGUAUCUGAAGGAACACCAGUGGCGAAGGCGACUCCCUGGACUAGAACUGACGCUGAGGUACGAAAGCGUGGGUAGCAAACAGGAUUAGAUACCCUGGUAGUCCACGCCGUAAACGAUGUCAUCUAGCCGUUGGUCCUAUAUACAGGAUUAGUGGCGCAGCUAACGCAUUAAGUUGACCGCCUGGGGAGUACGGCCGCAAGGUUAAAACUCAAAUGAAUUGACGGGGGCCCGCACAGGCGGUGGAGCAUGUGGUUUAAUUCGAUGCAACGCGAAGAACCUUACCUACCCUUGACAUCCAG